GUUUGGAGCUCGCUUGCCCGUCAAACCCGGACGCUGGUUCGCAGAUUUCGUUGGUGUUUAGUUCGGAGUAAACGACAUCUGCUGUCUCCAGACCUGGGGAACUGGCUUUGUCUUGUACCUGCACAAAAACAUUUGAUUUUAAGCCAAUCUAAGGGAGAUAUUUCAAAAUUGUUCUAUCUGGGAACAGGAAAAACUAAAAAAAUCAAGGUGUUUGCAGCAGACUAAGUGAUGAGCAACGAGAUAAAGUUACACCUCAGUCCACUCAUCCCUGAAGCAAAAAGAAAAAAAAAAAGAAAGAAAAAAGCAUGGUAAAUCUUGAGCACAGCCUGGUUGAAGUCCUUGGAUUGGUCCGCGAAUACGUAGUGACCUGCACCCUGAAUGACCUUAAAGGAAUUGGGAAGAAAAAGUGGGCCUACCAGCCUAAGCAGACCAAGAGGGUUAAAUGGAUUCAUUGCUGCUCCGAAUACUUUAAUCCAGAUGGGAACCCAAUGCUCCUGAACAUUUGGUCUUGCUGCAAAACCCCAAGGCUCCACCAACACCAAGUGCUUCAAUCUGUGACAAAAUCAUCAUAGCAGACAUUAAAAGUAUCCUUGAAUGAUUCAGGAUUGCUAAAAUGUUAUUUGAAUUCCAAACACACCUGUGAGGAUAUUUCAGGGCAUAUGCAGUGGACACAUAUCCACCAAGAUCAUGGCCAAGAAGAAUCAUAUAUUCCAACCCUUCUGCUUUUCUCCAGUCCUCCAGGGCUUGUACAAACUGCUCCUCUGC